CUGUGUUAUAGUUUUUUAAGAAUUUGUCUAGCAAGUUUUCCAGUUUUUUCUAGAAAACCCCC
ensembl:snRNA U7 U7 small nuclear RNA